rnacentral:rRNA from 1 species
GCAAGUCGAACGGCAGCAUGCACUUCGGUAAGAUGGCGACCGGCGCACGGGUGCGUAACGCGUAUGCAACCUACCUUAUACAGGAGAAUAGCCCAUGGAAACGUGGAUUAAUGCUCCAUAGUAUCAUUUUAUCACCUGAUUAAAUGAUUAAAGCUUCGGCGGUAUAAGAUGGGCAUGCGUAGGAUUAGGUAGUUGGUGAGGUAAGAGCUCACCAAGCCGACGAUCCUUAGGGGUUCUGAGAGGAUUAUC